rnacentral:rRNA from 1 species
UACGUAGGGUGCAAGCGUUAAUCGGAAUUACUGGGCGUAAAGCGUGCGCAGGCGGUUAUAUAAGACAGUUGUGAAAUCCCCGGGCUCAACCUGGGAACUGCAUCUGUGACUGUAUAGCUAGAGUACGGUAGAGGGGGAUGGAAUUCCGCGUGUAGCAGUGAAAUGCGUAGAUAUGCGGAGGAACACCGAUGGCGAAGGCAAUCCCCUGGACCUGUGACUGACGCUCAUGCACGAAAGCGUGGGGACAAACAGGAUUACGAAACCGAGUAG